CCUGAGCACUGCAUUAGCGAGCCUUUAUGUGUAGCCUGUGACUUGCAAAGCAGGGCCAAGGCUAGUCUAGGUAGACUUCCCUCUCCAGUUAAGUGGCUCACUUCUUUUUUUUUUUUUUUCAGAUGGAGUCUCGCUCUGUUGCCCAGGCUGGAGUGCAAUGGUACGAUCUUGGCUCACCUUGAUUAAGCAGAAUCAUAUAGGAGGUCCUAUUUUAUGCCUUGCUUUAUUUACUCAACAUAAUGGUUUUGAGAUUUGUUCAUGUUAUGUGCCUCAGUAGUUGAUCCUUUUUUUUAUCGCCUACGUAGUGUGGCAUUAUGCAAAUAAGUCACAAUUUGUUUACCCUUUCUUGUUUUGUUGGAAUUUGGAUUGUUUUCAGGUUUUGGUUGUUAUAAAUAAGGUUGUCGUGCAUAUUAUCGUACAAGAUUUUGGUAGAAAUACAUUUUCUAUGUUGUUGUAGUGUGGAAAGUUAAUUACAUUUUUAAAACAAGAAAUACAUUCAGCAGAAAUACAUUAUUUUAUAAAAAUAAAAAUAGAUAAAAUAAAGAAAUACAUUUUCAUUUCACUUAGGUAAAUACCGAGGAGCUAGAAUUGCUG
rnacentral:lncRNA from 1 species